CAACAAUGGAAUAUUCCAGGGGGAAGUACAGAAUUUUAGGAUACCAUACCUUAUGAAAUUAUCCAAAUAAGACUGUAUGUUCUUCUUCGCCUUUUGAGGUAUAUGGUAUUGUCGCAGGCUUACUGGAUAAACCCCAAGCUUUAGUUCGAUGCGUAUAGGUGGGAUAUUGCGAGCAAGUCCUGGUGGGUUAUUUUCUGCCCACACUCCUGGUAUAUUAUACAAGGAUUCAUCACUCUUAGGGUUUUGACUUGUCAUCACUGUAUAAAGUCGCCACUCUUCCUCCUUUGGUACUGAUAGUGUCAUUAUACCUGAGGGUCCAUUAAACUUCAAGGAUGUCGUUCCGUUAGGCAGAAAUGUUAUCUGUGCUUGUAACUUCGACAACAAAUCCCGUCCUAGAAGUUGGACUGGACAUUCAGGCAUAUAAAGGAACUGAUGUUUCACUACGUGGCCUCCCAGUGUACAGAGUCGACUUUUGAGAACCGGUUUACCAGCACUACUCCCAGUUGCUCCGAUUACAGUGAUAGUUCUUCCUGAAGGAGGAGCAACUAGGUCGGUUACCACAGAAUGUUCAGCACCAGUGUCGAUCAUGAAAGAACUCCUUUUUCCCCUAUUGCUACAUCGACCAUAGGCUC